CCAGAUAGUUGGAUGAUCGCUAUUAGCUAAUGGUUAAUAGAGGAAAGUCCGGGCUCCAUAAGGACACAGUGCCAGUUAAUGGCUGGCGAGGGUGACCUCAGGGAUAGUGCCACAGAAAAUAAACCGCCUUAUCAAGGCAAGGGUGAAACGGCGUGGUAAGAGCACACCGGGUUUUUGGUAACAAAAACCGCAUGGCAAACCCCACUGGGAGCAAGGCUAAAUAGAGAUGACAUUGCAUUUUAAUGCUAAAAACAGUCUUUAGUUCGUCAUCUGGGUUAGCUGCUAAAUCUUAAGCGUGAGUUUAAGAGUAGAUAAAUGACUUCUUUAAUGACAGAACCCGGCUUAUAGACUAUCUGGCUUU
rnacentral:RNase_P_RNA from 1 species